CACAUUCUUGCUUACUUCUUUUGACUUUUGUUUGUUUUUUCGUCUGUGUCGCUUCUUUUUUCCUUCCUUCCUCUCUUCUUCCUUCACUGUGUGGGCAAAGACCUGACAGUGACAGGAAGGACAGGAUAAAGGAUUAAAACAAAGAAACCAAAAAAAAGG
rnacentral:ribozyme from 1 species